AUUAGUCCUCCUUCUCAACAUGGCGCAAUCGAUUAACAUCACGGAGCUGAAUCUGCUGCAGCUAGAAAUGCUCAAAAACCAGCUAGACCAGGAAGCGGAGUUCUUGUCCAAGUCCAUUGCCCAGCACAAAGUGGUACAGACCAAGUAUGUGGAAGCCAAGGACUGUCUGAACGUGCUGAACAAGAGCAACGAGGAUGUAUGUCCCUGGGAAGCUGCAUGAUGUGGAGCAUGUGCUCAUCGAUGUGGGAACUGGGUACUAUGUAGAGAAGACAGCUGAGGAUGCCAAGGACUUCUUCAAGAGGAAGAUAGAUUUUCUAACCAAGCAGACGGAGAAAAUCCAACCAGCUCUCCAGGAGAAGCACACCAUGAAACAGGCUGUCAUGGAAAUGAUGAGCCAGAAGAUUCAGCAGCUCACAGCCCUGGGGGCAGCUCAGGCUACUGCUAAGGCCCGAGAGUUUUUGCAGAAAUGGGGCAGAAGGACACCCUUUGGGUGUGGAUUCCUGGUGCUGGAAAGGGAAGGGUCUUGUGUUUAAUGCCAAUAAAUGUGCCAGCUGGGCA